rnacentral:rRNA from 1 species
UACAGAGGUCUCAAGCGUUGUUCGGAUUCAUUGGGCGUAAAGGGCGCGUAGGCGGCGGGGUAAGUCGGGUGUGAAAUCUCAGAGCUCAACUCUGAAACUGCACUCGAUACUGCUUUGCUAGAGGACUGGAGAGGAGAUUGGAAUUCACGGUGUAGCAGUGAAAUGCGUAGAGAUCGUGAGGAAGACCAGUGGCGAAGGCGGAUCUCUGGACAGUUCCUGACGCUGAGGCGCGAAGGCCAGGGGGAGCAAACGGG